rnacentral:rRNA from 1 species
UACAGAGGAUGCAAGCGUUAUCCGGAAUUAUUGGGCGUAAAGCGUCUGUAGGUGGCUUUUUAAGUCCGCCGUCAAAUCCCAGGGCUCAACUCUGGACAGGCGGUGGAAACUACCAAGCUGGAGUUCGGUAGGGGCAGAGGGAAUUUCCGGUGGAGCGGUGAAAUGCGUAGAGAUCGGAAAGAACACCAACGGCGAAAGCAGUCUGCUGGGCCGACACUGACACUGAGAGACGAAAGCUAGGGGAGCGAAUGGG